rnacentral:lncRNA from 1 species
UAUUUUCCAUUAUACAAGUGAAAAAUCAUAUCAAUAUAACUUUUAAGAUACAAUAGCUAGUGUUUAUUAAAUAUUUUAGUGCUGUAGUUUUUAAUUUAUAACUGCCUAACCUCAAUCCCAAAUGCACCCUUAAUAGUCGUGUCUGAAAUCUUCUUCAAAUUUAAAGGAGUUGAUUAUGCCCUUCGGAUUGUUUGGCUGCGGUGAUAAAUGUGAGCUACAAUUUGACAAAUUAAAUUUUUAACGUGAGCUUGAAUUUUAAUAAAUUUUAAUUUGUCAGAGGAAUGUAAAAUUUUAAUUACAACGAUUUGGGAAAAAGAGUUUAAGCCCUGCUACGAUAUAUUUUUUCCUACAUAUUUCGAAGAAUUAUGGGCUCGAAUAUCCGAGUUGUGUCAUAAUAUAGUUGAUUUAGGAAGUCUCAACAUCCAAUUAGUUACUGAAUUGUGCUAUAACAUAGUUGAUUUAAGGCAAAAUAAUAAAUUUAAUGAGGGCUGCUGGAUCGGCGGCUGCUUUUGGGCAGCAGAUAAAUCAUUUCAAACAUGUUAGGAUAUCUAAUAUCCAUUAUCCAACGUACGCAAAUAUUGGUAGAUAAAAAUGAUUUUCGUAAUAUAUAUAUGUAUGUAUGUAUGUAUGUAUGUAUGUAUGUAUGUAUACAACAUAACCCGAUGCAUUCCAUUCGCUGAAAAUUUUUGGUUAGGUCUCACUUGAAUUAUAGCCGUAAAGUUGAGGAAUGUCGAUAGGAAAGCUAAUGGUUUCAUCACCGCCAAUCAAUUUUCUUGUAAUUAUGAUAUUAACAUUUUCACAGCUUCACUAGUGGAGUGAUAUGCAUCCCAAAGCACAUACUUUGAUCGAUCAUCACAGAAAACAGAAGAUGUGCUUCCAUGACUGCUGCCCUUGAAGCAAACAAAAGCAAAAGUAUCCGCUGCAAUAUGGUUGUUUGGCAUUUUCAAGUCCUGGCAAC